GUUUGGGUUUAAUUUUAUUUUAAUUUUAAUUGUGGAAUAAGUCAGAUAUGUUUCAUACCAGGAAUGUCAUUGUUCCUCCUCAUAAUGAUUUUCUGGAAGGUAAACUUCAACCGAGUCACAUGUUUAAAGAGAUUUCCUCAUGACAAGAUAAUUCUUUCAUGACAAGUCAUUACAAGCCUUUUUUAUUCGACUCAAACUGUCGGUAUCUGAAACUUCAUUUAUCAGUUUACUUUAUUUGCUGUUUUUCCUAGUACGAUUGUCUCAGUCGGUCAUUCUCAGUGGACAUUGACUUUAAUAUCCCACCUCAGUAGUUUGUUAAAAUAAUGUUCGCCAAUCGUGGUCAAUUUCAGAUAUAAAAAGGGGGGCAUCACAAAUCCGUAUCAAAAUAUUAAUUUCAUUUUCUAUCAGUUGGUUGUUUUCUUCUGCAAUGCUUAAAGGUUCGGAAAUAUUGAGUUUGUUAUCUGUAUCUUGAAAAAUAAUACAGACCGGACAGGUUGGGUGACUUUAAACAACUCUUACUGGCUUUGUUUAGCCACCAAAGCUCAUAUCUCACAUACUAUUGUACGUCUGUUGUUUCAAAUACUUUUUACUCUUGAAAACAGUACUGACUUGUUAAAAAA
rnacentral:lncRNA from 1 species